UUUUGCGAGUGCCGACGUUGGCUAUUCAUCUUAAUAGAACGGUGAAUCAGGAUGGAUUUAAGCCAAACCUUGAGACUCACCUUAUUCCACUACUGGCAACAAAGACGGAGAAUGCAACUGCUGAUUCCACAGAGAAAAGUAAUGUGUCUUCUUCCAAAGACGUUCAUCAUCAACUCCUUCUUAAGAUCUUGUCAGAUGAACUCAGCUGUAAAAUUGAAGACAUAGUUAGUG
rnacentral:misc_RNA from 1 species